AAGUUGGGCAGUCAAAAGGGAAAGAGCCCAGACCUUCAGUUAAGGUCCCCAAGUGCGCGUUAAGUGGAAAAGGAUGUGGGAUUUCGAAGACAACCAGGAUGUUGGCUCAGAAGCAGCCAUCCAUUCAAAGAGUGCGUAAUAGCUCACUGGUCGAGAGGUCCUGCGCCGAAAAUGUCCGGGGCUGAAACGCGCCACCGAAACUAAGGAACCGAAAGGUUGGUAGAGGAGCAUUGCAUGCGGGAAGAAGCAGUACCGUAAGGAGCUGUGGACUGCAUGGAAGAGAGAAUGCCGGAAUGAGUAGCGAGAUAGAGGUGGGAAUCCUCUAGGCCGAAUAUCCAAGGUUUCCAGAGUAAAGCUGAUCUGCUCUGGGUAAGUCGGGGCCUAAGGCGAGGACGAGAGUCGUAGCCGAUGGACAACAGGUGGAGAUUCCUGUACUGCGGUAUGACAGAACUGUGGGGACACGUAAGGAAAGCGGAAGCCGGGAAUGGAAAGCCCGGUGCAAGCGGGGUACCAGUCACUUUGGCAAAUCCGGGUGGCAAUGGGAAGCCGUGAUGCGGAGCGAAAUAAAGUAGCGAAGUCCGUGAGCCAUGCGUCAAGAAAAGCCGCUAUUGUUUAUACCGUACCCGUACCGUAAACCGACACAGGUGGAUGAGGAGAGAAUCCUAAGGCCGGCGGGAGAAGCAUUGUUAAGGAACUCGGCAAAAUGACCCCGUAACUUCGGGAGAAGGGGUGCUCCAGAGAUGGAGCCGCAGAGAACUGGCCCAAGCAACUGUUUAGCAAAAACACAGGUCUAUGCAAAACCGAAAGGUGAGGUAUAUGGGCUGACGCCUGCCCGGUGCUGGAAGGUUAAGGGGAGAGGUUAGCCGUAAGGCGAAGCUUUGAACUUAAGCCCCAGUAAACGGCGGCCGUAACUAUAACGGUCCUAAGGUAGCGAAAUUCCUUGUCGGGUAAGUUCCGACCCGCACGAAAGGCGUAAUGAUUUGGGCACUGUCUCGACAAUGCACCCGGUGAAAUUGAAAUACCAGUGAAGAUGCUGGUUACCUGCGCCAGGACGGAAAGACCCCAUGGAGCUUUACUCCAGUCUGGUACUGGGACUCGGUAUUGCAUGUACAGGAUAGGUGGGAGGCUAGGAGAUGGUAACGCCAGUUGCCAUGGAGCCGCUGUUGGGAUACCACCCUUGCAGUAUUGGGUUUCUAACCAGCCGCCGUGACCCGGCGGUGGGACAAUGCCAGACGGGGAGUUUGACUGGGGCGGUCGCCUCCGAAAGGGUAUCGGAGGCGCCCAAAGGUUCCCUCAGAAUGGACGGAAACCAUUCGAAGAGUGCAAAGGCAGAAGGGAGCUUGACUGCGACACCGACGGGUGGAGCAGGUACGAAAGUAGGACUUAGUGAUCCGGUGGUAUAAAGUGGGAUUGCCAUCGCUCAACGGAUAAAAGCUACCCUGGGGAUAACAGGCUUAUCACUCCCAAGAGUUCACAUCGACGGAGUGGUUUGGCACCUCGAUGUCGGCUCAUCGCAUCCUGGGGCUGAAGUAGGUCCCAAGGGUUGGGCUGUUCGCCCAUUAAAGCGGUACGCGAGCUGGGUUCAGAACGUCGUGAGACAGUUCGGUCCCUAUCCGGCGUGGGCGUAGGAUAUCUGAGAGGAGCUGUCCUUAGUACGAGAGGACCGGGAUGGACGGGCCGCUGGUGCAUCGGUUAGACUGCCAAGUCUACGGCCGAGUAGCCAAGCCCGGAAGGGAUAAACGCUGAAGGCAUCUAAGCGUGAAGCCCCCCUUAAGAUGAGAUAUCCCAUUCGUUAAGAAGUAAACCCCCUUGA
rnacentral:rRNA from 1 species